rnacentral:ncRNA from 14 species
UUAAAUGAUGACAAGCUGUCGCCCCAGACGGAGGCUCCUUUUCAGGACAAUGACCGAUUCGAUUUAUUAGCCAAACACUGAAAAUUCUGAAC